rnacentral:misc_RNA from 1 species
AGGAUUACGUGUGGAGUUUUGUUUUCCUUUAAUGCAUUCUCUCACACACAAUUGAAGACGUCAAAGGAAAGGGUCGUUUUGCAUCUCGGGCCCGAAGACCAAAAGUACAGCUUCAGCAGUAGGUCAUGGUCGGUAUUUUCAUCUUCGUCUACUAAAACACCUUCUCCUUCCAUUUUUCUCGGUCCUUCCUCAUUUUUCUCUUUUGUCCUCUCGAAUUUUCCUGGGAAAAUCGAAAGGAAAUAUAGAAGCUUUUAUUUGUGAAACAGCCAGCCCUAUCCAUCAUCCACAUGAAUUCAGAUAUUGCUUUUCAAGUUCCAGCCGAGCUCGAGACAGCUUUGCAAUUGAAGACUGUCCAGUACUUAGUUACACAAAGGCCAUGGCUCGAUCUCUAUGGAGUUAAUGUUCGACCUGUUGCACCAUAUGGGAGUGCGAUUAGAAGACAAAAUAAUGAUCCUGCAUUGAUACAUCGUUCCUUGCCAGAUGAGCUGCUCUUGGAGGUUUUUUUCCGAAUGAAUCCAUAUGAUUUGGGAAGGGCUGCUUGUGUGUGCCGAAAAUGGAGAUAUACUCUUCGUAAUCCUGUAUUCUGGCGUAGUGCUUGCUUAAAGGCAUGGCAGCUAUCUGGAGUGGUGGAAAACUAUAAGAUUUUGCAGUCAAAAUAUGAGAGCUCAUGGAGAAAAAUGUGGCUUUUAAGGCCAAGGGUUCGUACUGAUGGUCUCUAUGUAAGUAGGAACACCUAUAUUCGUGCUGGUGUAAGAGAGUGGAGCGUCACCAAUCCAGUUCAUUUGGUUUGCUACUAUCGUUACAUAAGAUUCUUACCUUCUGGCAGGUUCCUUUAUAAAGUAACAAUCUCUCAAUGAGCUUAACUACAUUGUUUGAGAUGCAUAUAGAUAAUGGUAAUGUCACCUUUCUUUCUCUCUUUGUGACCAUUUUAGUCUGUUAUUUUGCAAUGCAUAGACUUCUUCUCAUACAGUGAAGGAGGUUGUGAAAUGCAUGAAUCUCCGUGCAUCUAAAGUUGAUGAUGUUUUUAGUGGCCGCUACUCAUUGACUGACGACAAGGUAUAGUUCUUUACUAGAUUGCAAAUAAUUUGGUUGUGUUCUGCAAGUAAUAUUCCCUUCUGCAUCUAGAGUUUUCAUUAGUAGAGUUUAAUUAGGUAUCCAAUAUCCAAAGUAUAUUCCUCAUUUUAUUUCCUUCUUUAUUGGUCAAUGUGCAUUUUGAAAUUAUUUAUUCUUAUACAUUAUUCUCAGGUUGAAGCUGCUUUCCUGUACCCUGGACUGGGUCCAACAAUGUGGAAAGUCUGUUUAAGGUGUUGUACAUGCUGUCCUGAAUAAUUUUUCUUUUUCUUUAUGUUACUUAAACCAAUGGCAACAUGCUCAAGUUUAUGGUUGUUUAUUAAGGUUAUUAAUCGUUUAUGAUGGGGAAGGCAUACGAAUUACCCUUUGCUUUGACUAAUUGCAUGUGUACUGUUGUUUCUCGUAUUGUUCUCUAUCGGGGAGCUUCUUUUUCUUUUCCCUCCCCCUUUUCCCUCCCUCAUCUUUUCUUUUAUGCCCCUGUGAUUGAUCACCAUUUUACUGAUCAUCUGCUUUAGGUUAAGAGGAACAACCGCAGGUGCUAACAAUCGGAUGGAUAUACUCUCACUCGUUACUAGUAAAGUGGAUAGCAAUGGGGUCAGUGGGCCUGAGGAGGACAUCAUUGGAGUGGUUGAGGACUUGCAAGAGGAUGAGAUUUCUCGCACAUCACACAAGAGAGGACUUGCACCUUUCGCAUUUGUUCCAUUUGAAG